GCACAAUGAGCCACGCCCCCAAUUGCACUCUGCAGCCAGGAAUACUUCAACACACUUUUAGCAAAAAUAUGUCUGAAGUGGGUGAUGAAACCAUGCAGCCUGCACACAAGGUCCUCGUUUUACGACGUCGGAAACCGAAUUUGAAGAGGCCGAGGAUGUUCAACCGCACAACUGCAGGUGCCGAUGAAGGAUCGCAGUGGCUGGAAACUCCCUGCUGACCUCCCUCCCAGAUUUUCCCUUGCUCUUUCAAGGAUUACUGGAGACAAAGAUGACACUGGAAAGACCAGGAUGUUUGUAAACCACUGUAGCAGGAAGAUGAGAAUCUCAAUUUGUCCCCCCCCCCUGAAGUCCCCACAGCACCGGCGUGUACUAAAUAAAUAUAUUCAAGGUGGUGUCGCCAUGCUGUUUGGACCCAUGUAUCAAGUGUAAUGAGAGCCCUAUGCCACCACUAACUGCAGGCGGACUCUGUGCUGACUUUAAAUGCCCUACGGCGACCUCUUUAUUGCUGCAGCUGGACCCGUCAGACUCCCAUGGCAUCCCAACCAACAAACACGAUUGGUGCUCAAGGAUGAGAUGAGAUGAGGCGGGAGGCUUUUGUCUUGAAAGAGUUUGCCGCAUUGCUUCGCCGUUUCCCCAUCUGGGUGCAUCUUGGAGAGGGGUACAGCUCGGAGUUCCUGGAAAUCUUCUAGUGAGGGGCCCGUAGGAAGAUUUGUUCAGGUGGAUGGUGUUGACAAGUGUGUAGAUGGGAGUCAGCGGUGGAGAACUGAGUUGCAAGAGCGUCUGGCACCGUCUUUGGGAAGACGGCCUGGCUAAGCCCGUGGUUUCUUGCUGACCGCCCGAAGACGUCACCAUCAAGCACACCGACUGAGCUCCAUAUGUUGAAACAACAUGGUGGCCCUCACUUGAUUUUCUCGGCUAGGCAAUGGCAUGCCACAUCAAGCUACGGUAUUAUCCCGUGAGACGUGGGAAAUGGACGCAACAAAGCCCUUCUGCCUACAUACUACUAAAGUGCUUUAUUAUUUCAUUGCCUUACCCUCAUUCACAGCGGAGGACUUCAACGUAACGACAAUCAACAUUUACAUGUCAUUGUAUUUUACUUAAAGCAUAUCGGACGAGUCAUUGUAAUUUGUUCGGAUGUUUUCAUUUUCUUAUUUCUGAGCUUCACAACCAGUGUCCAUUUACCACUAAGUAGAUCAUUUGCCGUAUUUAAUAGACACUUAAUAUGUAUCAGGAGGUUUUGAUGACAUGUGCAAUACCUGUAUGCGUUUCCGGGCUGUAAAAAGAACAACUGGCUGAUCUCCUGACCCAAUUCCGGCCAUCCUACUUACAUCAUAUGGAGUGUCGAGCGUGAUGGAUUUCUUAUCCUAAUUUCAUCCUAAUCCCCUUUCCAAAGUAAUAUUUUGUGCUGACUUUGUUCGCUCUUCACAGCCAAGCAAAUCCCCCUGAUUUGGGAUAUUUCAUUUGCAUAUUGCAUUGGGCUGUGCCGGGGGGGGCUGAGACAGUAGGUCACGCUCUUGAACUCAAACGACAACAAAACACGGGCAUGAGCUCGAGUUCAGCAUAAUCUGACCCUCACAAUCUGCUGGCGCUGCUACAGGAAUGAGAUUUGGUCCGUUUAGUUUGUUGGAUGGAACGAGUUAGCAAUAUUAUUGAAAUGUGUGCAGAACUACGUACACAUGUACUUGCACAGUGGGUGACGUCGAAGACCCGCUCAACAUUAAUUCCCUCCGCAGUGCCAUAAUAGCCAUUAAGAUGUUGCGGUUUUCAAUAAGCGUUUAUAGACUUUGGGCGUCUGAGGACUAUUUUGCAAAAGAAAGUGAUGAGACAUCAGCACGGUUUACAAAGUGCACCGUCAACGCUGAGCUUGAAAGCCUCUCAGUUGGCUCAAUUGUUCUGUAGUGGCUGGAGCUCAGAUGAAGUCUGGAAUGUCCGUAUGUUUAGAUGUGAGUAGAGCAGCAUUAAAGGGCUCAUUAAAAGUC